AACAAAGUGUGUAUGAAGUCUACCGCUAAGGAAAUUUGAGAUGCUUUGGUGAUCACUGAGAAAAUACAAGUCAAAUGAAGGAGAACAAGAUGAAUUCCUUAAUCUAUCAAUAUGAGUUAUUCAAAAUGAAAUUCAAUAAGACUAUUAGUCAAAUGUAUGAUAGCUUUAUAGAAUUCAUUAGAGGAAUUAAGUUCUUUAGAAAUGCUUUCACCAAUGAAGAACUUGUAAAAAAUAUACCAAGAAGUCUUCCUAAGGAGUGGCUAUCAAAGAUGACUUCUCUUAAGAAUGCCAAAGAUUUGAGUAAAGUACAACUUGACAAGUUUUUGAGUAAUCCCAUAGAUUAAGAGAUAACUUUAAAAAAGGAACAAAUGGAGAAGCCUACAAAAACUAAAAAGAACAUUACCCUAAAAGAGAGUUUAUAGAAUUCAUUAGAGGAAUUAAGU
rnacentral:misc_RNA from 1 species